GUUGUAUGGUUAAGUGACUAAGCGUACAUGGUGGAUGCCUUGGCAGUCAGAGGCGAUGAAGGACGUACUAACCUGCGAUAAGCUGUGAGAAGUCGGUAAGAGACGCUAUUACUCACAGAUUUCCGAAUGGGGAAACCCACCCGAGAUAACUCGGGUAUCUGUUACUGAAUACAUAGGUAACAGAGGCGAACCGGGAGAACUGAAACAUCUAAGUACCCCGAGGAAAAGAAAUCAACCGAGAUUCCCUCAGUAGCGGCGAGCGAACGGGGAUUAGCCCUUAAGCAUCUUGGAAGUUAGUGGAACGGUCCUGGAAAGGCCGGCGAUACAGGGUGAUAGCCCCGUACACGAAAACAACCUUGAUGUGAAAUCGAGUAGGGCGGGACACGUGACAUCCUGUCUGAAUAUGGGGGGACCAUCCUCCAAGGCUAAAUACUCCUGACUGACCGAUAGUGAACCAGUACCGUGAGGGAAAGGCGAAAAGAACCCCUGUGAGGGGAGUGAAAUAGAACCUGAAACCGUGUACGUACAAGCAGUGGGAGCCCUUCGGGGUGACUGCGUACCUUUUGUAUAAUGGGUCAGCGACUUACAUUUUGUAGCGAGGUUAACCGUAUAGGGGAGCCGUAGGGAAACCGAGUCUUAACUGGGCGUCUAGUUGCAAGGUGUAGACCCGAAACCGGGUGAUCUAGCCAUGGGCAGGUUGAAGGUUGAGUAACAUCAACUGGAGGACCGAACCCACUAACGUUGCAAAGUUAGGGGAUGACCUGUGGCUGGGGGUGAAAGGCCAAUCAAACUCGGAGAUAGCUGGUUCUCCCCGAAAGCUAUUUAGGUAGCGCCUCGGACGAAUACUACUGGGGGUAGAGCACUGUUUGGGCUAGGGGGUCAUCCCGACUUACCAACCCCAUGCAAACUCCGAAUACCAGUAAGUAAUAUCCGGGAGACACACGGCGGGUGCUAACGUCCGUCGUGAAGAGGGAAACAACCCAGACCGCCGGCUAAGGUCCCAAAGUUCUGGUUAAGUGGGAAACGAUGUGGGAAGGCUCAGACAGCUAGGAUGUUGGCUUAGAAGCAGCCAUCAUUUAAAGAAAGCGUAAUAGCUCACUAGUCGAGUCGGCCUGCGCGGAAGAUGUAACGGGGCUCAAACCAGGCACCGAAGCCGCGGAUUCACGCUAAGCGUGAGUGGUAGGGGAGCGUUCUGUAAGUCUGCGAAGGUGUAUCGAGAGGUAUGCUGGAGAUAUCAGAAGUGCGAAUGCUGACGUAAGUAACGAUAAAGGGGGUGAAAAGCCUCCUCGCCGGAAGACCAAGGGUUCCUGUCCAACGUUAAUCGGGGCAGGGUGAGUCGACCCCUAAGGUGAGGCCGAAAGGCGUAAUCGAUGGGAAGCAGGUUAAUAUUCCUGCACGACUUGUAAUUGCGAUGGGGGGACGGAGAAGGCUAGGUGGGCCAGGCGACGGUUGUCCUGGUGAAAGUGCGUAGGUGGUGUUUGUAGGCAAAUCCGCAGACACAACGCUGAGACACGAGACGAACACACUACGGUGUGGAAGCCAUUGAUGCCCUGCUUCCAGGAAAAGCCUCUAAGCUUCAGAUUACAAGUCAUCGUACCCCAAACCGACACAGGUGGUCGGGUAGAGAAUACCAAGGCGCUUGAGAGAACUCGGGUGAAGGAACUAGGCAAAAUAGAACCGUAACUUCGGGAGAAGGUUCGCUCUUGAUGGUGAAGUCCCUUGCGGAUGGAGCUGUCGGGAGUCGCAGUGACCAGAUGGCUGGGACUGUUUAUCAAAAACACAGCACUCUGCAAACACGAAAGUGGACGUAUAGGGUGUGACACCUGCCCGGUGCCGGAAGGUUAAUUGAUGGGGUUAGCGCAAGCGAAGCUCUUGAUCGAAGCCCCGGUAAACGGCGGCCGUAACUAUAACGGUCCUAAGGUAGCGAAAUUCCUUGUCGGGUAAGUUCCGACCUGCACGAAUGGUGUAACCAUGGCCAUGCUGUCUCCACCCGAGACUCAGUGAAAUCGAAUUCGCCGUGAAGAUGCGGUGUACCCGCGGCUAGACGGAAAGACCCCGUGAACCUUUACUACAGCUUGGCACUGAACAUUGAACCUACAUGUGUAGGAUAGGUGGGAGGCUUUGAAGGCGUGACGCCAGUUGCGCUGGAGCCGUCCUUGAAAUACCACCCUUGUAUGUUUGAUGUUCUAACGCAGGGCCCUGAAUCGGGCUCGCGGACAGUGCCUGGUGGGUAGUUUGACUGGGGCGGUCUCCUCCCAAAGAGUAACGGAGGAGCACGAAGGUUGGCUAAUCCUGGUCGGACAUCAGGAGGUUAGUGCAAUGGCAUAAGCCAGCUUAACUGCGAGACGGACAGGUCGAGCAGGUACGAAAGUAGGUCAUAGUGAUCCGGUGGUUCUGAAUGGAAGGGCCAUCGCUCAACGGAUAAAAGGUACUCCGGGGAUAACAGGCUGAUACCGCCCAAGAGUUCAUAUCGACGGCGGUGUUUGGCACCUCGAUGUCGGCUCAUCACAUCCUGGGGCUGAAGUCGGUCCCAAGGGUAUGGCUGUUCGCCAUUUAAAGUGGUACGCGAGCUGGGUUCAGAACGUCGUGAGACAGUUCGGUCCCUAUCUGCCGUGGGCGUUGGAUGAUUGAAGGGAGUUGCUCCUAGUACGAGAGGACCGGAGUGAACGAACCUCUGGUGUUCGGGUUGUCACGCCAGUGGCACUGCCCGGUAGCUAAGUUCGGAAUCGAUAACCGCUGAAAGCAUCUAAGCGGGAAGCGAGCCCUGAGAUGAGUCAUCCCUGACCCCUUGAGGGUCCUAAAGGGCCGUUGGAGACCACAACGUUGAUAGGUGGGGUGUGUAAGCGCCAUGACUGGGGUGAAG
rnacentral:rRNA from 1 species